AAGUAAAAGUCGUAACAAGGUUUCCGUAGGUGAACCUGCGGAAGGAUCAUUAUUGAAUAAACUUGAACAGGCUGUUGCUGGUCUCUCUUGAGGCAUGUGCACGCUUGUCAUCUUUAUCAUUUCUCCAACUGUGCACAUAUUGUAGACCCUGGAGUUUUCAAUGGAAUUUGUUCCGAGUUGGGACUGCUGCGCUUCAUUUUCAAAGAGGUCGGCUUUUCCUUGCAUUUUUCAGGUCUAUGUUUUCACAACCUCUGUAAAUGUUUAGAAUGGUUGAAACAUAAUAAAAGUUUAUACAACUUUCAGCAACGGAUCUCUUGGCUCUCGCAUCGAUGAAGAACGCAGCGAAAUGCGAUAAGUAAUGUGAAUUGCAGAAUUCAGUGAAUCAUCGAAUCUUUGAACGCAUCUUGCGCUCCUUGGUAUUCCGAGGAGCAUGCCUGUUUGAGUGUCAUUUAACUUCUCAAUCCCAUCGAUUUCUGAUGUGGCUUGGACAUGGGGGUUGUUUUUGCAGGCCUCUUGAAUGAGGUCGGCUCCCCUGAAAUACAUUAGUGGUAUCUGAGCAGGACUACUAAGGUGUGAUAAGUUAUCUAUGCCUUUGGUAUGCUGCAUGAACAGAUUGUGCUGCUUCAAAUAAACACAUAUUUGACAAAUUUGACCUCAAAUCAGGUAGGACUACCCGCUGAACUUAAG
rnacentral:rRNA from 1 species